AACGAACGCUGGCGGCGCGCCUAACACAUGCAAGUCGAACGCUCCGGUUUCGGCCGGGGAGUGGCGGACGGGUGAGUAGCGCGUGGGAACCUGCCCUGGGGUUCGGGACAACCGCGGGAAACUGCGGCUAAUACCGGCUACGCCCGGCGAGUGAUCGUCGGGGAAAGAUUCAUCGCCCUGGGAGGGGCCCGCGUCCGAUUAGCUAGUUGGUGGGGUAACGGCCUACCAAGGCUGCGAUCGGUAGCUGGUCUGAGAGGAUGAUCAGCCACACUGGGACUGAGACACGGCCCAGACUCCUACGGGAGGCAGCAGUGGGGAAUCUUGGACAAUGGGGGCAACCCUGAUCCAGCGACGCCGCGUGGGUGACGAAGGCCUUCGGGUUGUAAAGCCCUUUUGCCGGGGACGAUGAUGACGGUACCCGGAGAAGAAGCACCGGCUAACUCCGUGCCAGCCGCCGCAGUAAAAC
rnacentral:rRNA from 1 species